CUGAAAUGUGUAUGGUAACCAAGCCUCCUUUGAAAGGCACAAAUGAACUGAAAUCUUGUCGUUGUCAUUUUGACUGUACGCCUCCACAGCUGUUGGAAAGACCCCGCUGUGGAGCGGGAGGUGGUUGGGGAGUGUUAGCUUUCUUUAUAUCUGCUAUGUUACCUGUGUCGGAAAGAGCUCAUAAUCAUAGUCCUGCCAGUGUUAUGAGGCAUUACGUAACUAAUGAUGUGUUUACAGAUAGUCGGACAGUAAAAGGAAACAUUGUGGGGGUGUAAGAAUGUCUGUUUGACUGUAAUCAACUUUUUCUUUUAGAUCCGGGAUUUGUUCUGACACCGUUGGAGGAAUCACCGCCCGAAUGUCUUCAGAGAGCGGCUUUGUUCCAGACGUUAGUGAAAUCGCUGUUGGCUACAUGCUGCACAGUUCCAGGUGUUCGGCCUCAGUGUGUUUGCUGAAGCGAGGUCUGAUCUGACACUGGAAAUUAUCCAGACCGGUUAUGACACACUCCACUGAGCCAGGGUCAUCUGGAAACCCGUCAACGAUCCUCCACCAGCACCAAGACUCUCGGCAUAUGGCUUCUUUGACCCUGAAGGGCACCGGUUACCCAGAAAGCCUCAGUGUGUUCCAGGAUUUGGUGUUGAAACAGGAGGAAGCUGGCGAGAGCAAACUGCUGCGAAUAUGAGAUGGGUGAAACGCUCGGAGAGAAACAUCAAACGCUUUCUCGCAGCGCUCUUUGGCCCAGAGCUGCCCACACACUCAUACACGGGCAUUUCCAGCUCAGAGCUUCGCGCCCAGACUACUCAUCCACCCGGAUUCAACUGCCUCGGCCAAUCACGGAGAAGUGCCGUGACCCCAUCGUGACUCUCCUCCUGCCCACAGCCAAUGAUCUCAUCCCCUCGGUGGAUCCCGCCCACUGCUGAAUUGUGCCUCUGCUGCGCUUUCCCGAGGUCAUGGGGAAUUCUGAAAAUUACAUUUCUUUUGUUGUUAUGCAUUAUUUUGGGAUGGGGGCGAAAGGGUGUCCUGAAAGUGCACGGUUUGUUAAAAUGCAUGAAGUCGAUUCACUCUGUCAAAAUAAGACCCGAUGAGUCAUAAAAGUUCCCUGAAUAGGGAAAGAUCGAAAUCUUCACAUUUUUGUUCUUAAGAACAUGUCAUGUUAGCUGUACAAUAUGGCAUGAAUUUAUCAGCUUUAGCACAAUUUUUCAUCAGGUCCAGCUAAUCCUCAAGGACACCUGAGAGGUAUCAGUAGCUCAAAGACAUAUGAAUCAGAAAUGAGACCAGAGGCUGUUGUGUUGAAUGUAAGAUGGAGGAGAUGCCUGGAUAAACUGCUUUUGUGGAGAUACAGCUCAUUACAUUAACUGCCUGACUGCUAAUCUUUAAUGUGUCUGGCAUGAUACAUUCAUUUAAGAGAGAGCUAUAUUUGGAGUUUGCUAUAAAAUAAUAGCAGUGCUUUACAAAGUCAUGGAAAUUUUGUGACAGGUAAGAUUUAUUAAUGACACUGGCACGCCAAUGGUGGCUAAUGGUUAGAAAACUGUUCAAUGCCAUUAUCCCUGAUAAUAAAAAUAACUUGAACCAGGAUUGCUGGUCUU